rnacentral:rRNA from 1 species
UACGUAGGGUGCGGGCGUUGUCCGGAAUUAUUGGGCGUAAAGAGCUUGUAGGCGGUCUGUCGCGUCUGCUGUGAAAAUCCGGGGCUCAACCCCGGACUUGCAGUGGGUACGGGCAGACUAGAGUGUGGUAGGGGAGACUGGAAUUCCUGGUGUAGCGGUGAAAUGCGCAGAUAUCAGGAGGAACACCGAUGGCGAAGGCAGGUCUCUGGGCCACUACUGACGCUGAGAAGCGAAAGCAUGGGGAGCGAACAGG